GCUGAACGCUGGCGGCGUGCCUAAUACAUGCAAGUCGAGCGAACAGAUGAGGAGCUUGCUCCUCUGACGUUAGCGGCGGACGGGUGAGUAACACGUGGAUAACCUACCUAUAAGACUGGGAUAACUUCGGGAAACCGGAGCUAAUACCGGAUAAUAUAUUGAACCGCAUGGUUCAAUAGUGAAAGACGGUUUUGCUGUCACUUAUAGAUGGAUCCGCGCCGCAUUAGCUAGUUGGUAAGGUAACGGCUUACCAAGGCAACGAUGCGUAGCCGACCUGCGAGGGUGAUCGGCCACACGGGAACUGAGACACGGUCCAGACUCCUACGGGAGGCAGCAGUAGGGAAUCUUCCGCAAUGGGCGAAAGCUUGACGGAGCAACGCCGCGUGAGUGAUGAAGGUCUUCGGAUCGUAAAACUCUGUUAUGAGGGAAGAACAAAUGUGUAAGUAACUAUGCACGUCUUGACGGUACCUAAUCAGAAAGCCACGGCUAACUACGUG
rnacentral:rRNA from 1 species